GCUUAACACAUGCAAGUCGAGCGAGAAUCGUUUAUUGAAGGCUUCGGCUGGAAAUAGAUGAGGAAAGCGGCGAACGGGUGAGUAACGCGUGGGCAACCUGGCCUUAAGAAAAGGAUAGCCCCCGGAAACGGGGAGUAAUACUUUAUGAGAAUGAAAGAGGGCAUCCUACUUUCAUUCAAAGCGCAAGCGCUUAAGGAUGGGCCCGCGUAUCAUUAGCUAGUUGGUGAGAUAACAGCCACCAAGGCAACGAUGAUUAGCCGGUCUGAGAGGGCGAACGGCCACAUUGGAACUGAGAGACGGUCCAAACUCCUACGGGAGGCAGCAGUGGGGAAUAUUGCGCAAUGGAGAAGAACUCUGACGCAGCAAUACCGCGUGAGCGAAGAAGGUCUUCGGAUCGUAAAGCUCUGUUAUCAGGGAAGAAGAAAAUGACGGUACCUGAUGAGCAAGUCCCGGCUAACUACGUGCCAGCAGCAGCCGCGGUAA
rnacentral:rRNA from 1 species